rnacentral:rRNA from 1 species
AAACCUACAUUCAGGAGGUGCGUUGACCAUAUUGGCUUGAAACGCUGGAAUCAGCUCGUUGAUAUGGUCAAACAACAUCCCCCGAGAGAGGAAACAGAUACCCCAAUUUGGGGUUUAGAACCAAGUGGGAUUUUUUCAGUUAAAUCUUUCUAUAAACAGAUCAAUUUUGGAGGGAUGGUUUUGAAUAUUAGUCCUAAAAUGUGGAAAAAUUUAUGUCCACAGAAUAUUCAUGUAUUCUUGUGGCUGUGUGUUCAUAACAAGAUACUAACUAGAAAUAACCUUGCGAAGAGAAGGGAAGUGGAAGAUCCUUCAUGCUUAUUCUGUGCAGAACCUGAAACUGUUCAACACUUGUUGUUUGAUUGUGUGGUGGCCCAACAAGUGUGGAAUGGGUAG